rnacentral:rRNA from 1 species
UACGUAGGGUGCAGGCGUUGCCCGGAUUUAUUGGGCGUAAAGGGCGCGUAGGCGGCUCGGCACGUCCGUUGUGAAAUCGCCCGGCUCAACUGGGCGGGGUCAGCGGAUACGGCCGAGCUUGAGCAAGCUAGGGGGCAAUGGAAUUCCCGGUGUAGUGGUGGAAUGCGUAGAUAUUGGGAGGAACACCAGUGGCGAAGGCGGCUCACUGGACCGGUACUGACGCUGAGGCGCGAAAGCGUGGGGAGCAAACGGGG